rnacentral:rRNA from 1 species
CCCUAGUAUGGAAAGAGAUUUAAAAUUAUUAUGUUAGUAGAAAUUUAAUAAUUUUGGCGGUUAAAUAUUAAUUUAGAGGAGCUUGUUUAUAGAAUUUGCUCUUUGUAUUUUAUUUAUAAUUAUAUUUAUUCAUUUCCGUUAUUAUAAGUAAUUAGAGUUAUAAAAAUUUAUUUUUGUAUUUCAGGUCAAUAUGUAGUUUUUAUUUAUAAAAAUUAGCUACAAUUUAAAAUAGAUUGGAUUAAAAAAUGAAAAAUGUUAGGAAAAUGAAUUUAGUUGUAAAAGUGAUUAUAUUAUUAUUUUGAAAUAUUAUAUUUAAUGUU